rnacentral:rRNA from 1 species
CCUACGGGUGGCAGCAGUGGGGAAUAUUGGGCAAUGGGCGCAAGCCUGACCCAGCAACGCCGCGUGAAGGAAGAAGGCUUUCGGGUUGUAAACUUCUUUUCUCAGGGACGAAGCAAGUGACGGUCCCUGAGGAAUAAGCCACGGCUAACUACGUGCCAGCAGCCGCGGUAAUACGUAGGCGGCAAGCGUUAUCAGGAUUUACUGGGUGUAAAGGGCGUGUAGGCGGGACUGCAAGUCAGAUGUGAAAACCACGGGCUCAACCCGUGGCCUGCAUUUGAAACUGUAGUUCUUGAGUACUGGAGAGGCAGACGGAAUGCCUGGUGUAGCGGUGAAAUGCGUAGAUAUUAGGAGGAACACCAGUGGCGAAGGCGGCCUGCUGGACAGCAACUGACGCUGAGGCGCGAAAGCGUGGGGAGCAAACAGGAUUAGAUACCCGAGUAGUC